rnacentral:rRNA from 1 species
CCUACGGGAGGCAGCAGUGGGGAAUAUUGCACAAUGGGGGAAAGCCUGAUGCAGCGACGCCGCGUGAGUGAUGAAGGAUUUCGGAACGUAAAACUCUAUCAGCAGGGAAGAACAUGCCGGUAACUGACUAAGCAGCCCUGGCUAACUACGUGCCAGAAGGCGCGGUAAUACGUAGGGGGCAAGAGUUAUCCGGAUUUACUGGGGGUAAAGGGAGCGUAGACGGCAGUGCAAGUCUCGAGUGAAAGCCCAUGGCUUAACCAUGGAAGUGCUUUGGAAACUGGGCAGCUGGAGUGCAGGAGAGGUAAGCGGAAUUCCUAGUGUAGCGGUGAAAUGCGGAGAUAGUAGGAGGAACACCAGUGGCGAAGGCGGCUUACUGGACUGUAACUGACGUUGAGGCUCGAAAGCGUGGGGAGCAAACAGGAUUAGAUACCCUAGUAGUC